AAUAAGCGCAACCAUGGGUUUCAGUGCUAACGUUUAACCGUCUGUCAUAUUUUUUCUAUGAUUACUAUUUUUAUUGUUAUUAGAUGAUAAAAUAUGAAUAAUACUUCAUACGUAACUUAAUUUUUAUAUUUUUUAUAAAAUUUUUAAAUAAGAUGAAUGGCUAAAUGUUAGAUACGAAAAUUUAUGGUUGUACUUAAA
rfam:Oryza meridionalis cultivar OR44 (W2112) chromosome 8, whole genome shotgun sequence.